GAUGCAUGAAGGCUCUUCAAAGGAUCCUCUGUGAGGACAGCGGUUGGUGACAAGAGCCAUCAGAGCAAGGGGCAGGCUGACAGGAGUGAGGGCACAGUGGAGUCAGCCCAAUGGGGCUCAUUAGCUCAGCGUUCUUCAUCAUGGCUGGAGGCCUUGAUCUUUACUAGAAAAUUCCACACAGUCUCAAGUGCUGAGCAAAAUCAACCAGAUUCUAUUGCUAGGAAGGCAGAGUCCUGAGGAUGGCCCCUUUGGGCGGCAAGACCCCGUGAAUGUCAUGCACAACUUGGAGAAAGUAACCCAAGUGGCACACACUGGAGCCUAAGCAAAUUGCCCAGAAAUCAACUGGCUGCAGCACAAACUAAUUGAAUCUCCACAGAAAGUACCCUUCCUGGCCACACCGUCC
rnacentral:lncRNA from 1 species